rnacentral:misc_RNA from 1 species
GUGAAUCAUCGAAUCUUUGAACGCACAUUGCGCCUCCCCGCGAGGGAGGCAUGCCUGUCUGAGCGUCAUUUAAACCAUAAACCCGACAUUGGGUUUGUCGUGGGCCUCGCCCUCACUGGGCGUCGCCUCAAAGUCAUCGGUCUAACGAGCGGAUGAGAUCCAUUAGGACUGACCGUUUCGACGACCUUAAACCUCUGACUUGACCUCAGAUCAGGUAGGACUACCGCCUGAACUUAAGCAUAUCAAUAAGCGGAGGA